GACGAACGCUGGCGGCGUGCUUAACACAUGCAAGUCGAACGGAAAGGCCCUGCUUUUGUGGGGUGCUCGAGUGGCGAACGGGUGAGUAACACGUGAGUAACCUGCCCUUGACUUUGGGAUAACUUCAGGAAACUGGGGCUAAUACCGGAUAGGAGCUCCUGCUGCAUGGUGGGGGUUGGAAAGUUUCGGCGGUUGGGGAUGGACUAGCGGCUUAUCAGCUUGUUGGUGGGGUAGUGGCUUACCAAGGCUUUGACGGGUAGCCGGCCUGAGAGGGUGACCGGCCACAUUGGGACUGCGAUACGGCCCAGACGCCUACGGGAGGCAGCAGUGGGGAAUAUUGCACAAUGGGCGGAAGCCUGAUGCAGCAACGCCGCGUGCGGGAUGACGGCCUUCGGGUUGUAAACCGCUUUCGCCUGUGACGAAGCGUGAGUGACGGUAAUGGGUAAAGAAGCACCGGCUAACUACGUG
rnacentral:rRNA from 1 species